rnacentral:rRNA from 1 species
CCUACGGGUGGCUGCAGUGAGGAAUAUUGGUCAAUGGGCGGAAGCCUGAACCAGCCAAGUAGCGUGCAGGAUGACGGCCCUACGGGUUGUAAACUGCUUUUAUACGGGAAUAACGCGCCUUACGUGUAGGGCUUUGCAUGUACCGUAUGAAUAAGGACCGGCUAAUUCCGUUCCAGCAGCCGCGGUAAUACGGGAGGUCCGUGCGUUAUCCGGAUUUAGUGGGGUUAAAGGGCGCGUAGGCCGCAUGGCAAGCGUGCUGUGAAAUGUCCGGGCUGAACUCGGGCCUUGCAGCGCGAACUGGCGUGCUGUAGUCCGCGGAAGGCAGGCGGAAUUCGUCGUGUAGCGGUGAAAUGCUUAGAUAUGACGAAGAACCCCGAUUGCGAAGGCAGCUUGCUGCAGCGGAACUGACGCUGAUGCUCGAAAGCACGGGUAUCGAACAGGAUUAGAUACCCUAGUAGUC